UACGUAGGAUCCGAGCAUUAUCCGGAGUGACUGGGUGUAAAGAGUUGCGUAGGUGGCAUAGAAAGUCGAUAGUGAAAUCUGGUGGCUCAACCAUUCAGACUAUUGUCGAAACUUCUAAGCUCGAGACCGUUAGGGGUAACUGGAAUUUCUAGUGUAGGAGUGAAAUCCGUAGAUAUUAGAAAGAACACCGAUAGCGUAGGCAGGUUACUGGAACGGUUCUGACACUGGUACACGAAAGCGUGGGGAGCAA
rnacentral:rRNA from 1 species